UAAUACCCCAGCAUGUACAAUGGGUCUAAUCACAGCCAGCUUCUGGUGGAGUCCAGGAUGACAGGGGCUUCCUUCAGCCCUGUCUUCAGAGAGGCUGAGAGGAACUGAACAGCCUCCUGGCUGUGACCAUGGUUUCCUUCCCCAUCAGUCACGUGGGGCUUGUCCUGUCCCCAGAGCCUUGGGUCACAUGGCUCAUUGUGCCUGCGCUGCCAGGAGCCAGGAGCCAGGAACCAAGAGCAGAGCGCCAGCAUGAACUCGGGGGUCAGCAUGCUGAGGAUCCUCUUCCUCCUGGAUGUAGGAGGAGCUCAAGUGCUGGCAACAGGCAAGCCCCCUGGGGCUGAAAUUGAUUUCAAGUACGCCCUCAUCGGGACUGCUGUGGGUGUUGCCAUAUCUGCUGGCUUCCUGGCCCUGAAGAUCUGCAUGAUUAGGAGGCACUUAUUUGAAGAAGACUCUUCCGACCUGAAAAGCACGCCUGGGGGCCUCAGUGGUGAGGGAUAUGGUGCUCGGGCCUGGCUCUGCCCCACCCAGCAAGGCACCGAGGGCCACUCCGUGGUGCUGGCUACAGCAAGAACGAACCCACAAGCGCAG
rnacentral:sRNA from 1 species